GACGAACGCUGGCGGCGUGCUUAACACAUGCAAGUCGAACGCUGAAGCUCAGCUUUUGUUGGGUGGAUGAGUGGCGAACGGGUGAGUAACACGUGAGUAACCUGCCCCCUUCUUUGGGAUAACGCCCGGAAACGGGUGCUAAUACUGGAUAUUCACUGGUCUUCGCAUGGGGGUUGGUGGAAAGGGUUUUUCUGGUGGGGGAUGGGCUCGCGGCCUAUCAGCUUGUUGGUGAGGUGAUGGCCUACCAAGGCUUUGACGGGUAGCCGGCCUGAGAGGGUGACCGGUCACAUUGGGACUGAGAUACGGCCCAGACUCCUACGGGAGGCAGCAGUGGGGAAUAUUGCACAAUGGGCGCAAGCCUGAUGCAGCGACGCCGCGUGAGGGAUGGAGGCCUUCGGGUUGUGAACCUCUUUCGCUCAUGGUCAAGCCGCAACAAUGGUUGUGGUGAGGGUAGUGGGUAAAGAAGCGCCGGCUAACUACGUG
rnacentral:rRNA from 1 species